GACGUAGGGGGCGAGCGUUGUCCGGAUUUAUUGGGCGUAAAGCGUGCGUAGGCGGCUGCGCAGGUCGGUUGUGAAACCCCGGGGCUCAACCCCGGAACUGCAUCCGAUACUGCGUGGCUAGAGGUAGGUAGGGGAGAUCGGAAUUCCUGGUGUAGCGGUGAAAUGCGUAGAUAUCUGGAGGAACACCGGUGGCGAAGGCGGCAUCCUGGACCAACACUGACGCUGAGUGAGCGAAAGCCAGGGGAGCAAACGGG
rnacentral:rRNA from 1 species